GUUAUGGUUGAACUGUAGGAUUCAGUUUGACUAUGGUAUUUUUAAGUGAGAUCACUGGAAAUAUUUUUUUUUUAAUGUUGUAAAUAAAGUAGAAGAACGGGGGGUUGUUAUCGUAUUUCAGACACUGGUCAGUAUUGACGAUGUGAAACGAGUUUAUUCGCUGUUUCUCGAUGAACGUCGGUCCACGCAGUAUCUCAAAGAGUACCAAGAUGACUUCAUGUUCAAUGAACUUCCUGAGCAGCAGCCAAUGGAAAUCGUGUAGGAAAUCGCCUCAAACUGAUCUUAUCUACACCAUCAGCCGUUCAAAUCGGAAUUAUAACUUCAUCAAGAUGCACGCAAAUAAAUAUUCCAUUGCAAAUCCAUCUAUAACUUCAUUCCUUUUACUCACUCCAUGUUUGAUUGACAAAGAAAUAAAAAACUUCGUUUAGAAUAAA